UGAGCAGGUCUGGAUUAUUAAAAAUGCGUUUCCAUACCUCUGAGGUGUCUCACUUCCGGAAACACGGACACUGAAAUCGUAUAAAAGGAUCGAAUCCGUAGUGUUCCGCACAGCAUUUGACUUUCCUUUGCUACCUGCUGGUGCUGCGUUGGAUAAUACGCAUCCCAAAGAUGAGUUUCCAAGAUUGUUGUGAGCACAGACAGCCCUUCUUUCUGUCUCCCAACACCCAGCUGGGGAAUUCUUCCUUACGAAGACUUGAAGAUGGCUUAAGAAAUCUGGCUAACACCCCUCUAGUGGCUCCAUAUCUGUAUUCACUUAGAAAUGGUGGGAAUCCUCAGGGCAACCCCAUUAACUUCAACCAGGGCAAUCUUGCUAUGUCCCAGAAUCGCAGGUGUGUGGAUCCCUGCAGCAACGAUGUGACCAGGGGCAACACCAUUUACUUGAACCUGGGCACUAUAGAUGUGUCCCAGUGUACUGGGAGGGGCGUGAAUCAAUGCAGUGGAGCUGGGAGCAAAGGCAACACCAUUUACUUGAACCUGGGCACUAUUGAUGUGUCCCAGAAUGCCGGGAGGGGCGUGAAUGCCUGCAGUGGAGCUGGGAGCAAUGGCAACACCAAUUUCUUGAACCUGGGCACUAUUGAUGUGUCUCAGAAUGCCAGGAGGUGUAUGAAUCCAUGCAGUGGAGCUGAGAGCGAUGGCAACACCAUUUUCUUGAACCUGGGUCUCAUUGAUGUCUGAUGAAGGAACUGUGCUGCUCCAUGAGGGCCUGCAUGUGGGGGCUCCCAUGGUGACAGCCUCAAGGUGACCCUACUCUGCAGUGCCAUUGUCUGGUGGAGUCUCCGAAGCCUAAGGAAUGAAAAUGGUUUGCUGAUCCCUAUGCUUACCAACAUCUUUCUUCAAGCUUCACUUUCCCAGUGCACUUCCUGCCCCUAGAAGAGUAAAUGCUCCAAUGGUUUCUUCUCAUGCUUGGCAUAAUUUCUACUGUAUUUAAUCGAAGAACAAUGCCUUUCCUUGUAACUUGUACCUAAGUGACUUUGUGCCCCCAGGGUGUAGCCUGGGAGAUGUAUUCUGUAAUUCCUCUUUGUACUGAUGUGGCUGGAGGAAUUUGCCCAUCUGUUCUUCUUUACCAUCUUGUUCCUCUUCUUGUGACAAGCAAUAAUAAAAAAGUGAGCACAGCA